rnacentral:rRNA from 1 species
AUUGAACGCUGGCGGCAGGCUUAAAACAUGCAAGUCGAGCGAGCGGCGGACGGGUGAGUAAUGUCUGGGAAACUGCCUGAUGGAGGGGGAUAACUACUGGAAACGGUAGCUAAUACCGCAUAACAUCAGAUGUGCCCAGAUGGGAUUAGCGAGUAGGUGGGGUAAUGGCUCACCUAGGCGACGAUCCCUAGCUGGUCUGAGAGGAUGACCAGCCAAACUGGACCUGGGACACGGCCCAGACUCCUACGGGGGGCAGCAGUGGUGAAUAUUGCAAAAUGGGCGAAAGCCUGAUGCAGCCAGGCCGCGUGUGGGAAGAAGGCCUUCGGAUUGUAAAGCACUGUCAGCGAGGAGGCGGUACUCUCAGAAGAAGCAACGGCUAACUCCGUGCCAGCAGCCGCGGUAAUAC